UACGUAGGGAGCAAGCGUUGUCCGGAAUUAUUGGGUUUAAAGGGUGCGUAGGCGGCCAUCUAAGUCAGCGGUGAAAUUUUGCAGCUUAACUGUAACAGUGCCGUUGAUACUGUUUGGCUAGGAUUUGGUUGUAGUGUGCGGAAUGUGUGGUGUAGCGGUGAAAUGCUUAGAUAUCAGGAGGAACACCAAUGGCGAAGGCAGGUCUCUGGGCAGUUACUGACGCUGAGGAGCGAAAGCAUGGGUAGCGAACCGGAUUAGAUA
rnacentral:rRNA from 1 species